rnacentral:rRNA from 1 species
GGCCAGACUCCUACGGGAGGCAGCAGUGAGGAAUAUUGGUCAAUGGCCGAAGGGCUGAACCAGCCAAGCCGCGUGAAGGAAUAAGGCCCUACGGGUCGUAAACUUCUUUAGUCAGGGAACAAAGGGUGCCACGCGUGGCGCUGUGAGUGUGCCUGAAGAAUAAGCAUCGGCUAACUCCGUGCCAGCAGCCGCGGUAAUACGGAGGAUGCGAGCGUUAUCCGGAUUUAUUGGGUUUAAAGGGUGCGUAGGCGGUUUGUCAAGUCAGCGGUAAAAAUUCCGGGCUCAACCCGGUCCCGUCGUUGAAACUGGCGAACUCGAGAGGGAGAGAAGUAGGCGGAAUGCGCAGUGUAGCGGUGAAAUGCAUAGAUAUCGCGCAGAACUCCGAUUGCGAAGGCAGCAUGCCGGCUCCACACUGACGCUGAGGCACGAAAGCGUGGGUAUCGAACAGGAUUAGAUACCCCAGUAA